GCGAGUCUGGCCGAGUGGUUAAGGCGUUGUGUUUAGGUCCUCCACGUGGGGAAAACGCUUAAACCGCAAUGGGCAUCGCCCGCGUAGGUUCGAUCCCUACGGCUCGCA